GGGAGUGCCGGGUUUCGACAGUGGCAGUAUCAUUGUUCCGCAUACCGAGGAGUCCUCCUAUCCUCGUUAAUCACGGGAGGAAACGCAAUAAGUGCUAACAACUUACUUGCUCGCGUAAGCAACAAGAUCGCUAACUUGUUUAGCGGCUUUAGCUUCGCGCCCGCAAUGGCCUAAGGGCCAUUUGCCAUCGUCGCCCCAAGACUUCGUAGGGGUAGCACGGUGUCACUCACGAAGCGUAGGUGAAGCUUGCCACCGGCCCGAGCGCCACCGAACUGUUGGCCGAUUCUCGUGUGCGGAUUUCGUUUUCUUAUCACCGCAUACCCGUAUCUUAAGAAAACUACGUAUGUAGACGGCAAAGGUACUGACUGCUAGACAUGGGUUCAACUCCCAUCACUUCCACUC
rnacentral:tmRNA from 1 species